UACGGAGGGAGCUAGCGUUGUUCGGAAUUACUGGGCGUAAAGCGCACGUAGGCGGCUAUUCAAGUCAGGGGUGAAAGCCCGGGGCUCAACCCCGGAACUGCCCUUGAAACUAGAUGGCUAGAAUCUUGGAGAGGUCAGUGGAAUUCCGAGUGUAGAGGUGAAAUUCGUAGAUAUUCGGAAGAACACCAGUGGCGAAGGCGACUGACUGGACAAGUAUUGACGCUGAGGUGCGAAAGCGUGGGGAGCAAACAGG
rnacentral:rRNA from 1 species